rnacentral:rRNA from 1 species
ACUCAAAUGAAUAGACGGGGGCCCGCACAAGCGGUGGAGCAUGUGGUUCAAUUCGAAGCAACGCGCAGAACCUUACCAGCCCUUGACAUCCCGGUCGCGGGAACGAGAGAUCGAUCCCUUCAGUUCGGCUGGACCGGAGACAGGUGCUGCAUGGCUGUCGUCAGCUCGUGUCGUGAGAUGUUGGGUUAAGUCCCGCAACGAGCGCAACCCUCGCCCUUAGUUGCCAUCAUUUAGUUGGGCACUCUAAGGGGACUGCCGGUGAUAAGCCGCGAGGAAGGUGGGGAUGACGUCAAGUCCUCAUGGCCCUUACGGGCUGGGCUACACACGUGCUACAAUGGCGGUGACAGUGGGAUGCUGAGGGGUAACCCCGAGCAAAUCUCAAAAAGCCGUCUCAGUUCGGAUUGUGCUCUGCAACUCGAGCACAUGAAGUUGGAAUCGCUAGUAAUCGCAGAUCAGCACGCUGCGGUGAAUACGUUCCCGGGCCUUGUACACACCGCCCGU